GGGGUUGUAGCCCAGAGGUAGAGCGCUCGCCUAGCACGUGGGUAGCCCUGGGUUCGAUCCUCAGCACCACA
rnacentral:tRNA from 1 species